CCCGCGGAAUGCUGGGAGUUUCCAGCCAAUGGCGGCACGAUCCCUGCACUGACAUCAGCGCGCGAGCCCGAGCUCGAGCCCGGAGCAGCCGCACGCGCUGCGCAGGCCGCGGGCAGAAGAAAAGCCUACAGCGGCGCCAUCGCCACCAUCUGCUCAAGUGACGGCUGCGCCACUUCCCGCAGAAUGAUGGUCUUCUAUCAAGACGUCAUGUAAAGAGACAUCUGCAGAGGUGGUAACUGAGAGAAUAUCAACAGCAGUAGAUCUGCACUAUCUUUCAAGUUGUUUAGUACAGUAUCCAGAAGAGGUAAAAGGAUCCUCUUUCUCUUACAUUAUGGAUGAGCAACCUUCACAACAAUUUGCUGGUCAUGUUGCAGUUUCUGCAUUUCCAUCACAG